rnacentral:misc_RNA from 1 species
GUGAAUUUUAGCUUCAAAUGCUAAAGAUUUGGAGACAAAAAUGAAGUAAAUUUUAUAAAAUGCCUAGAUAAUACCCUUGUGUUCAGAAAAGAUUAAAAAAACAUAGGUCCCCUACAAAUUUUGACUGAAAUUGGAAACAAACAGACAGUUUGUCAAAUACACCCACUAGAGGAGCCAUUUAGAUUAUACAUUUCAAAACUAAAUGGUCCACCCAACUCCUAGAGCAAAUCUUUUGAGACAG